AAUACAAAGCGUCCCUCUGCUGGGAGUGGGCCACUGAUGAAAAUUUGUAUUCCAAGCUCAUAUAGGACCGAGAAAAGUUCCUUGAAAUCUUCUUCUUUUACAUACAGCUAUUCUCUGUAGAUGUCAUUUGCUCCAACAUGCACAAUGAUAUGCUUGAUAGUUGCAUAUUUUGACACCAGUUCUGCAAGCUUGUUUUUUGUGUCAGACACAGAAGCAUUUGGGAAACAACAUACAAUCAUCCUUUCCCCAUUUAUAUGUCUCACAGCAGAGUCGCCUAGAACGAGGGUUGUGGGAUGAAUAGGUGUCGAGUGCUGCUUCAUGUCUGUGCCCAUCUUUCUAUUGUUGUGGUUUGAUCGCUGCCUGCUUUGGGUCUGUUCCCUGGGAAAUUCCUUUCUCACGUCCCGGAGGCAUUCAAAUGUGUUCCAUAGUGUUAGGGGCUGUGGGCUUCCCUUAGGACCACAAGCCCUGGAGUAGUUUGCUGAUCUGUCAGUAUUUCUGAUAUGAGGCCUGAAGUUAACCUCUGAAUUUACUGGUGUUGAGGUAAUUACUGUUCUUGUAUUACGUUUUUUGUUUUUUGGUCUGGCACCUUGCCUGUGCCAAGGCUCUGUACUCACAUUUCCCUUUGUGAGGUCGAUGCAUUCAUCUGCUCUAUUAGCAGUGAUAUUAGACUGCUGGGUUACAUUCUCUGCAUUUCCAGUAGUUGCUGUACUCACUUCAUGAGAUGCCUCUCGUAGUUCAUCUGUCGUUGAUGGAAGGGCAUGCAUCUUUGAUUCCAAAAGUAGAAAUCCUCUGUUCUAGCUCAGUACAUUUUCGGUAUGAUCUCCUGGGUCUCUGGCCGGAGGAGCGCAUUUUGUUUUAAUCCAACUUCAAGGUGAAUUGCCGUUCAGUUUUUGCUCGUUGACUUGGCUGGCUCAUUUAAAGUAAAAAACUAACCACUAAAGUUUCAGAUUUUAAAUGUACUGGUUUCACUGUUUUUGCUAAACUAGCUUGUAAAUGAAAUAAAAGAAUGAAAAAGAAUGGAAAUUGCUAAAAGGAUAGGUGAAGCAGGAGCAGUGUGAAAUGCGUCCUACUCGCUUGAGUAGGCGUGUGUCUUUGUAGAGGGAUUCAUGAAUGGUUGUCGUUCGACUCCUCCUAAUUCCUGCCUUGCGUUAAAUUCCUCCCUGCUUGCUCAGGUAUGUUCUAUUAACUGCAUACAUAGAUUCCAGCUUGUUUGCAUACACUGAUUUUUAACGGACUAAUAAUUGCAUUUCCCAGCCGUGAAUUACAGAUCGUGCUGCCAAUACGGAGUGGGUAUGUAAUACAAUAUUUGAAUAGAGAUAAUAGAUUAAUAAUGGCGUGUGUUUUUUAAACUGUAUUCUGCCUUUCAGGUGAUAUGCUAUAAUUGUCACAGGGGUGACUACAUUCCAAUGGGGGGCGGAACUAAUCUGUGUUAGUUUUCCCCGUAGGGAACAGUUUUAGCGAAACCAUCCGGGAUUAAGAUGGCGGCGCACUGUCCCAAAAUGUAAACAUGGUAGCACAGGCUGUUUGCGCUGUGUUAAUUUAAUUAUUGUUCCAAUGCAGCUCAGCUGGAUGGCGGGAGGAAUUCGUUUCAAUGAUUGGUGUGCUUUUAGAGGGGGAGCACUAUGCUGCAGGUAUUCAACAAACAACACGACCGGGAGACUGGAGACGACGCGGGCUGGGCUACGGUGAAGACGAGCGACUGGAGACCGGAGGAAAAGACGAUUACCGAGACAGGCAUUCAGUGGAGGAAACCGGGAACCCUGGAAGACGGAGAAUCAAGAGGGCAGCUACAGCUAAGUACCCAUGGAGAUGUGCUGCUAGUGUAUCGUUGCUAUCGGCUAGCCUUCGGUGCUGCCUGGGUGAUCGUAGGCUACUGGGAUUGCCUGUAUUUGUGCAUUGUUCCCCUGUAUAAUCAUGUUGCUGUGCCCACUAAGAAAUGUGCAUGCGAGUUUGAGUUUUCACAGAUUGCAGUGCUGAGUGAGUUUUCACAGAUUGCAGUGUUGUGUAUUUUGCACUGAAUACAGCCUCCAGUAGCCUGUCCCCGAAGCUGGCCCCGCUGAGCACUCGGAUGAGACACUGGCCUUCGCGUGGGUGGAGUUCGGCAGACAGGAGUGAGAAGCGAAGGCAGUGACGCUAAGUGGUCCCUUUAUCGAACAGUAUUAUCAGUGUACCAUUCAGCUGUGCUGGCUAACCUGUUUGCAUGCUAGUUGGGCUGUUUUUGAACACUAUUGUUCUGACCUUGCUGUGACGUGCUGUGCCUUGAAGUGUCUGUCAGAGCAACCUCUGUUAAUCUCAUGAGUGUGACCGGCUGUGGUGUUCUUCUUGACCUUGUUGCAGCCCCAGGCCCACCAGCCGCUACCCACACUUGGGCCGAACCCCUGGGCGUUAAGCCCUGUGCCCCGGCCACUGAUGACUAGCUUGCUCGCCCCCACCAGACGAGCCGUACCCGCCGCUGUCCAGCCACUGACGAGACCCCUGCUAGACGAGCCCCACUGACGAGGCCCCCACCAGACGUUUUGUGCCUACCACUGCCCCGCCGCUGUCCAGCCACUGACGAGGCCCCCACUAGACGAGCCGUACCCGCCGCUACCCCAAUGCUGUCCAGCCACGGGUGAGGUUCCCGCCGGGCGAACCGUACCUGCCGCUGCCCCAGUGCCCUCCAGCUUCUAUCCCCCCGGCCUCUACACUCUCCUGGGCCACGACGACUGAACCCCCCCCCUUCCCUUUAGUAUAAAUUUUACCCCCCAAUAAAGAUUUUUUGAUUUUAACUUUA